CUUUUUAGGGCUGCACCUGCGGUACAUGGAGGUUCUCAGGUUGAAUCGGAGCUACAGCUGCUGGCCUGUACUGCAGCCACAGCAAUGUGGGAUCCGAGCCAAGUCUUUGACCUAAACCACAGCUCACGGCAACGCCAGAUCCCCAACCCAUCGAGCAAGGCCAGGGAUGGAACCUGAAACCUCAUGGAUCCUAGUUGGGUUCAUUAACUGCUGAGCCACAAAGGGAACUCCCUCAAACUUCUUAAUUUAUAUUUUUUAAUCUGCAAAAAAAUCAGCAACUAGCUAAGAGAGGAGAAAUCUUCCAGCCCACCCCACCCCUGCAUGGUAUCAGUCUUGGAAGACAAUAAAAAAUUUUUCUCCUCUGAAGGAUUAUCAAAUUGGAUGCCCAGCCCUGAGAAGCAGCAAGAUUUGGUUCUUUACUCUGCCUCUGAAGAGAGUCAGAGCUUCAGGCUUCAGGGAGGGACAAUCUCCAUCAAUGGUCAUCAUGUCCAGGGGCAGAUGGUGCUCAGAAUUAUAGGGAUGUUAGGAACCAAGCUGGAUUGACUUCAAAGUUACACCCUCAUUCAUGAGAAGGUGAGUUACCUAAAUUCAGAAAGAAGGGGCUUGAGUAAUGAUGAGAAAUCAAAGUGUAUCACAUGGGGACCAGCUGAUGAAGGCAGAGGCAGAGAAAAUGAGUGAGGAAAUGAAGCAAAAAGGUACAAAGAGAAACAGGGCUUGGUGCCCUUAAGAAAACACAGAUCAUCAAGCUCAAGCUGCAAUGCUGAACCAGCAGUAUGCAUUUGCUUGGGCAUCACUUGAUCUGGACAGGUGGAAAACUCAUUUCCUGUGCAGUCUGUUAAACACGAGGUAGGAAGCUGUGGCAUGUGAAAAUGCUUGUAUCUACAACAAUGUGCACACACACAGAAAAAUUCUUGACAAUCUAAAAUGGAGUUAGACUUUGACAGUGGGUGCACUGCAGGUGAAAGUAUGUCUCUUCUCCUUUGUAUUAGAGGCAGCCUGUGGGUAAAGUGACCCUCACUCCAGUUAGACUGGCCCUUCAGAACCUCAGCCUCUAUUUGCUAGAGCUCAGGAGUAGGGGGUGUGCCUGAAGAAUAAUGUCGAAUUAAGAGCAGUCUUCAAAAUAGAGAAGGAUUAUUAUUUGUUUUGAAGAAGUGCUAUUAACAUGCCAUGCUUUACCUAAAGUGCAAGAAAACUAUUUUGAUUUACCUGCAAAGUAAUGGUGUUAUGGCUGAUAGCAAGAUGAGCAUUUUAAUGACCUUAGAUUAAAAAAACAAAACCCAGAAAACUGCUAAGAGAAGCAACUUUUCUUACACAGGACUUUCUUUGUUUAAGCAUGUAUUUCUUGCUCAGCAAGAGUGACAGGGACUCCAGAUACCUGCUUUCUUAAUAAAGGUAGAUAUAAUUUGAGUGACUGAUAAAACCAAGAUAGGCUUCCAAUUGAAAUAGUUUGAAUUUCUAAUGUCUGGUAUUUAUCAUGAAAUAGAAGCAUGCUCUUAUUUUCAUAGUCAAGAGAAAUUCAAACAUCCUUCCCUAAUAAAAUUCUAAGCAUAGCAAACUUCUCUGCUCCAAGUGAAUCAGUAAAGCAUUUCUGUAUUGAGGUUCUCAACUCUUAAGGAGCAAUUUCCAGAGAAGCUCUGUCUCUUGGAAGCUGAACCCUGAAAGCAAGAACACCCCGAGAACACCCCGAAUAUUUCUGUUGGGGCAUUCUGUGUUAUUGAUGUUGGUUUUUUCCCCUUCAGAUUUCCUUUCUAUGAGCCUUGCCCCAAGAAGCCCCCUGGACUGGUAACUCUCUAAUCUGUCUGCAUCCUGGUUUGACUUAGGUGGAGGCACCAAGUGAUGAUGUAUAACCUUAAAAAAAAAAAAAAAAAAAAGGACAGGUUUGUGUUUGCAACUGUCAGCAAUGUUUUGGCUAUUUUGAGAAUGUAGGACAGGGUUAAGGAUUAGUACCAGCAUUCUCUUUUCUGUGUAUCAGAGCCGCUUAGCAGUAAUUAAUCAGGACAUUAGGUUUUGUGCUCUUGGUUCAGGUCAUUUGCCUAUGAGCUGCUCAAGCCUUUUACAAAGGCAUACUGCAUAUGUUUCUGGGUACCUUUUUGAGAGAAGAUUUAAAUUGGCCAGAUGAAUAAUACUUUGUUACAAGUGUUUUGCCCUAGGCAAAAAGGUUUUCUUCAUAUUAUCAUAGCCUGAAGCUGCAAUCCUCAAGCUUGAUGUGACUGGUGUUAUACUGUCACAUGGCAAUGAUGUAAGAACAGGCCUCUCUGUGUCAGACAAAUCUGGAUUUAGGGGAAUUAUAGCAGAUGUUGCAAAAUGGCAACAGUUUAGCAAGUUCCUUUUAUCCCACUGUUGGGAGGCAGGACUACUAAGUGUACCAGACAGAAAAGAAUGUUUUCUUUGAUCCUUUACACUCUAGGGUAGGGACUUCCCCCGUUAGAGAACAUCAUUAAUGAUAUAGUUAUACAGUCACUGAUGGUUCAGAAUGGAGAAUUAACGGUUGGCUUUUUUUUUUUUUUUUUUAAGUAUUUGUUUGAUUGAGCUUAGUAUUUUUGGUCAUUUACAUUACGUUAUAAGCAUCAGAAACCCUCUAAGUUUUUAUUCUUAUCAAAGAAAGCCUAAUUCAGUGGUAGAAACUGAGGAACAAUAACAAAAACUAACCUGCUCACAAAAUAUUUUAACUUUGGCAGCCCUAUUCACUCAAGGCUAUUAUGUAAAGCUAAAUUACAUGAGUUCUUAGAAAGAGAAAAAUAGGAUAUAUAGUAGUUGUUUUCAUUUUCACAUUCUAAUAAGUAUUAAUG
rnacentral:lncRNA from 1 species